GGGAGGUGGUCCCCAGGAAGCCAGAGCCAGACACGGAUGGCGGAAAAGCUGAGGAGAAGCUGCUUUGUCCAUGGCUGAGUACUGGGACAUUUGUCUUCUCCUGCUUUUAGACUGGAAUGACCCCAUCGGCUCUCCUGGGUCUCCAGCCUCCAGAUGCAGAUGGUGGAACUUCCCAGCCUCCGUAAGCACGGACCCACCGGCGUGAAAAGCGCUUCGCGUUGGAUGUCUCAAGAUGCGCCCCUCGCUGCCGUGCUGGAGGUCCGUCUUGUGAUCACAAGAUCACGGGUGAAAAAACAGAGACCGAGAAAGAUUCAAAUGGCUUGUUGAGGGGACAGAGCUAGAAUCUAAGCCUAGGAGCUUCUCACUCAGGAGCGAGGCGGUCUCAGCCACCAGGCUAUGCUGGCAGUAGAGACGUGUUCUCAACCUCUGCUGUGGCGUUCUCAAAGGAUCGUGAAUGGAAAGGAAGAGAAAGACAAGACGUGUAUACUAUGCCCCAGAGGAGCUCUGUCCUUCCCUUGGCUUGUCUUUCUCUCUCCCAUCAGGUGGACAGCAACCAGAGAGGCUCUAUGUGUAAACAGCUCCUCCGGGACUGCCCCAGCUACCCAGUCCAACAAAUCAGAAAUAUGGCAUUAGGAUAACUUCACCUGUCUCUCACCUUUCAUAUCAGUUGACGAAUCCCAUUAUCUGAAUACCUUUCGCUUCUUUUGCCUGUGACCCAGCUCCUCUGCAGCAUCCUACUCAGGAUGGCUUAAUUGAGAAGUCUAUGAAUUAUUUCUAGCUUCAGGCAUGGCUGUAUCCAGGAGCUCACACUGUGUCUUGAGCCUGGGAUUCAGUUACAGCCUCUUAACUAGCCACACAUCCUCCUAUCUCUUGCGCUCCUCCAACUUCACCACCUUCCCAUCCCCACUGGUUUACAUGCCGAUGCCUGAGAUGUCUUUCUAAAGUGAAAGUCUGGUCACUAUUCCUGUGCCAAAAGCUUUUGAUGGCAGGAUAAUAGCUUAACUUCCUGCCUUGACACAAUCUGCCAUCUGCCCAGCUCCCCAAUCUCACCUCCCA
rnacentral:lncRNA from 1 species